GAAGAUGAAGCAUCCUGAAGGCAGGAAAUACUUGCUUGCUGCCUCCCAACACCUGAUUCAUUAGCUAAUACACUAAGGAAGUAUGUUUUGAGUGAAUGAGUGAAAGAAAGUAAGAGGUAGAAUGGCUUCACUCCUUUGGAGUGGACUUCAUCAGACCUGAGAGUAAGGAUGCCCAAGGAUGGGAAACGUUCCACAUUACUCGUGCACCUGGGACCUGGGACACAUGCCUCUUCACCAGGGUUGGAGGUUCAAAUUCUGGAUCUUAAGGAAAUCCUGGCAAGGGGUUCUCCUUUAGUCCUUGACAUCUCAAAUAUCGCAUUCUGCUCACUGAAGAAAAUAGCUUUUGAAGACUGUGGGAACCACCCGCGUAAUAGUUACAUAACGGCUAAUGCAUUCUCGGGGCUGCUGAAAGUUGGGAAGAAGUUUAAAGAGGCUUCCUUCAAACCAGGAUCAUAAAAAUAGUUAUGCAUAUUUUCUUCUAUUAAUUUCAAGCCUUCAAGAUAACUUUUAAAUUGUUGAUCCGUCUGGAAUUUAUUUUGGUAUAAAAGUAAGGAAAACAAAUUACAAAAGUAACCUAUGCUUGCUAUAACAAAGUCAAACAAUACAGACAUGUGGAGAAUAAGCCUUGACAACCUCUCUCUCUUCCCCUUUAACAACACAUCCCAGAGGAAACUCCAAUCAGCUGCUUGUUGAGCGUCCAUCCUUUCAGAUGUUCUCCCAUUCUUAUGCAUAAACGCGUUUCAUGAAGAAGAGCUACCAAAAUAUCAGUGACAUUUUGACUAGGAUUUCAAUAAAUAUUUGUAAAGAUGUAUUUUCCUUAACGUUUCUGGCUUCCAAAUCAUGUAAUGCCUCAGCAUUUCAGGUUUUUUUAAUGUGUAUACCAGUAUAACACCACUCAUGUACAUCCCAGAAACUGCGUGGGGCGGUUAAGGACAAGAAAAUACGUUUC
rnacentral:lncRNA from 1 species